rnacentral:rRNA from 1 species
AAAUGUAGAGUGCAUGAGGUAGAAAUACUUCUUUUCUUCGGAACUCUCUGCAAGGUGCUGCAUGGUUGUCGUCAGCUCGUGCCGUGAGGUGUCGGGUUAAGUCCCAUAACGAGCGCAACCCUUAUCGUUAGUUGCCAGCGGGUAAUGCCGGGGACUCUAGCGAAACUGCCGGUGUAAACCGAGAGGAAGGUGGGAUGACGUCAAAUCAGCACGGCCCUUAUGUCCAGGGCUACACACGUGUUACAAUGGCGGUACAGAGGGCAGCUACCUGGAGACAGGAUGCGAAUCUCGAAAGACCGGUCUCAGUUCGGAUCGAAGUCUGCAACUCGACUUCGUGAAGCUGGAUUCGCUAGUAAUCGCGCAUCAGCCAUGGCGCGGUCGAAUACGUUCCCGGGCCUU